rnacentral:rRNA from 1 species
UAGGGAAAUUUUCGGCAAUGGGGGGAACCCUGACCGAGCAACGCCGCGUGAAGGAAGAAGGAAUUCGUUCUGUAAACUUCUGUUAUAAAGGAAGAAAGACGGAUGGAGGAAAUGACAUCCGAGUGACGGUACUUUAUGAGAAAGCCACGGCUAACUACGUGCC